AUGGAAGUGGCAAUGGGUGACGUCGAUGACCAAAUGGUGUUGACGAUCGACAAGCAAGCUGAAAAGUGGGAAGCCAUGGAGCAGGAACAACACGUGUGGAAUGCUAUCGAUGAGCAACGGAAAUUAGAUAGGCAGGAGGAAAAACGAAGGCAUAAGGCGAGAAAGAAAAGCCUGGAAGAAAAGAGGAAAGAGAAGAGAGAAGAGAAGAGGAAGAAGCAAGAGAAGAAGAGGAAAAACCAGGAGGAGGAGUUGCAGGGGAAGAGGAAACAUGCUCGUUCGACGAACUAUUCUAAAUUUGUUCAAGGAGCUACAACAGAGGAGCUACAGAUACGAAAUUCUCCACCUAUGACACAUAGUCAAAUAGUGGCCAGAUCUCCAUUAAAGGAAGCAUCAACAAAGGAUGAAGUUAUUUGA
rnacentral:rRNA from 1 species